rnacentral:rRNA from 1 species
GACCUCAAAUCAGGAAGAACCCGCUGAACUUAAGCAUAUCAAUAAGCGGAGGA